AUGGAGUCCCCGCGCGGCCGGCGCACUCGCAAUGCCGCCGUCCCCUCCGCCUGCUUCCUCCUCCUCCUCCCCCUCCUCCUCCUCGUCCCAACCCUCUCCCCCUCCGCCGUCCCCAUCCUCCGUCACGUCGUGCAAAGGGCGGCCCUCUCGUCCCCCUUCUUUGCCGCCAGGCCGCGGGGGGACUGCCAGGAGCUGCAGGCCCUCGACGGCGCGGAGGCCCGGUGCGCCUACCUCCUGUCGCACACCCCCUGCGCGCCGGCGGGGUACGUCGACUACCUCCGCCUCUUCUACUGCGGCUUCGCCGGCGCGGGGCACCCGGCGGCGGGCUACGCGGCGUCCCUGCUCUGGCUCGUGGUCCUCUUCUACCUGCUCGGCGACACCGCGUCCGAGUACUUCUGCGCGUCGCUCGAGGGGCUCUCCGCCGCGCUGCGUCUGCCCCCCGCCGUCGCCGGCGUCACGCUGCUCUCCCUCGGCAACGGCGCGCCCGACGUCUUCGCCAGCGUCGUCUCCUUCGCGGCCGGCGACGGCGGGGACGGCGGCGGGGUCGGGCUCAACAGCGCCCUCGGCGGCGCGCUCUUCGUGUCCACCGUCGUCGCCGGCGUCGUCGCGCUCUCCGCCGGGUCUCGCGGCGGGGCCGUCGUCGAGCUCCGCGGGUUCGUGCGCGACCUCUGCUUCCUCUUCUUCGCGCUCUGCUACCUCGUGGGCGUGCUCGUGAGCGGCACCGUCAACGUCUGGGUGGCCGCCUCCUUCGUCUCCAUCUACGUCGCCUACGUCGUCCUCGUCUGGACCUCCCAGUGCUGCGCCGACCCCGGCAAGCCGCCGCACGCCGACCUCGCGGCACCGCUCCUCCUCGACGACGAAGAUGACGUACCUCCCCUGCCGUCCUACUCCUCCAAGACCGCGCCGGGCUCCACGACGGCAGCAGUCUGCCUGCAUUACCUCUUGUGCGCGCUCCGCAUGCCGCUCUACCUCCCGCGGCGCCUCACCAUCCCGGACAUCGCCGCGCACCGCUGGUCCCGGCCCUGCGCCGUGGCCUCCGCCGCGCUGGCGCCGGUCCUCCUCGCCACGACCUGGACCUCGCACAGCCCGGCGGCAAAAUCCUCUCGCCAGCACCACACCAGCGACGGCCACGCGAUCCUCCUCUCCGGCGCAGUCCUCGGGCUCCUGUUGGCCGCCCUCGCCGCGGCCACCACGGACGCCAACUCCCCCCCGCGCGGCCGCCGGCGCCGCGUGCCGUGGCUUGCCGCCGGGUUCCUGAUGAGCGUGCUCUGGGCAUACACCCUGGCGCGCGAGCUGGUGGCGCUCCUGGUGGCGAUCGGGUACAUGGUGGGCGUGAAGGCGAGCGUGCUGGGCGUGACGGUGCUGGCGUGGGGGGACUCGCUCGGCGACCUGGUCUCCAACGUGGCGAUGGCGACGCACGGGGGCCCGGGCGGCGCGCAGACGGCGGUCUCCGCCUGCUACGCCGGGCCGCUGUUCAACACGGUGGUGGGGCUGGGGCUGUCACUCACGCUGGCGGCGGGCGCGCAGUACCCGGCGCCGUUCACGCUGCCGGCCGACACCGCCGUCUACGAGACGGUGGGGUUCCUGUGCGCGGGGCUGGCGUGGGCGCUGGUGGUGGUGCCGGCGAGGGGCAUGCGGCUGGACCGGGUGUACGGGGUGGGCCUUAUCGUCAUCUACCUCGCCUUCUUCGGCGUCCGCGUCCUCGACAGCCUCGGCCUCUGGUUCGGGUAG
rnacentral:rRNA from 1 species